CAAACCCUCAGUUGGCUCUUUUGCCAGACUGGUCCUGAGCUUGGCUGCCUUAUGGUUGUUGGCUUUAAAUUGCACGCUCUGCGGGUGACCCGACCUGAACAAACAUAGUAGAAAUUCUCAACUGUUUUGCAAGGUAAAGUCAGCUCCGCCUGAACAACAAACCAAUCUCAAG
rnacentral:misc_RNA from 1 species